UUCGCGCUACAAGCAAAUAAUUCCCCUUCUGCUUUCUUCCGAACUAUUUUCAUAUACCGCUCCCUUAAUCAACUUAGUGACGAAACGACCUCACCUAGUACCAUAGACCCGUCUUGGGUAAAAUGUACAUAUUUUUUGUAAAUACUACCAAACCUCUGUAGAACUGACGUCAGAUUCAAUAUACAUCUCUACUAGAGAUUCGUACAUUUUACUGCAUAACUUUAGUAAACUUGCUUUUUGUCAUACCUGGCAACUGUGUGUGCAAUCGCCAUCUCUCUAGUGGAAGCAGUGGAAGCGAAGCGAUUCGGAGCUUCUAACCGUAGGAAAUUGUUCGGAGCAUCAUUAUUGCGCAAAAAGGAUUUGCUUGUCGGACUGGCCUCGAAAAACAAUAUUCGGUAUUUUCGUUCAACAUAAGCUAUUCGCGAUUCUGAGUUGGCGUUGUAAACAAUUAUGCAGACUUAUUCGACAUAUUUAAUUAGGAGACCCACAUAAUGGCUGAAAUGAGCUGCUGGAUUUCAACCUCAUUGUAAACCAUCAGAAUAUAGUAUACUGGACUAAGAAUUUACAAUACAGGACAUCAGAGAGAAAAAAACGGACGGAACAUGCAUUCUGGCUCUAUCGAUUCCCCGCUUUAGCUGCCCCUGUCUCUGAAGGAUGAAAACCAGAGCAAUGCAACAGGAGAAGGAACGAGGCUUUGGAAAAUCUGUCAGAUCGAUGUGGUCGAGCCUUCAAUUACAACUUUCCCCUUGUACACUACUUUAGAACAAUUGCAUCUAGAAUUAUUGUCAUUGUUAUGUAUUAUGUGUUUAUUUUUAAAUAAUUUCACAAAUUUUCAAUUGUAUAUAGAAUAAGUUAGUAGUAAUGCAUUUUAAGCAUGUAGAAUAGCGUAUAAUGAAAUAAGACUUUUAAAUUAAUAAUUAAUGUUUAAAAAAAUGUCAUUAUUUCUUAUGAUUAUCUCUUACAAAUGAAAACCAAAACUUUCACUGAUAUUGCACCAAUGGUGGGUCAACAAAUCAACCAUUGUUAAACCGACGAAUAGCUUUCGUUAAGUCGAUAUUGAUCCAACACUGGACUAACAUCUUAGUUUUGCUUGAAAUGGGGGCCUACCAAUUUUGUUUCGUAGCAUGUACCAAAUAUUAGUAGGGUAGAAAAUGACUACACCCAGAAGACAGAUUACUAAAAUAAGCUACCAAAUCUUUGGUAAGCCAAACAUUAGUAGUAUAUUUUCUGUAAAUAUU